UACGGAGGGUGCAAGCGUUAAUCGGAAUUACUGGGCGUAAAGCGUGCGUAGGCGGUUCGUUAAGUCUGUUGUGAAAGCCCCGGGCUCAACCUGGGAAUGGCAAUGGAUACUGGCGAGCUAGAGUGUGUCAGAGGAUGGUGGAAUUCCCGGGUGUAGCGGUGAAAUGCGUAGAGAUCGGGAGGAACACCGGUGGCGAAGGCGGCAUCCUGGACCAACACUGACGCUGAGGAGCGAAAGCCAGGGGAGCAAACGGG
rnacentral:rRNA from 1 species